UGAAGCUGACGACCCAGAAGGCGCGGAGGACGGCGGGGUGCUUGGUGGCGAGGAACCGCUUCUCGUGGGCGAUUAGAACGGUGGCGGCGAGGUUUGCGGCGAGCUGGAGGGCUAGAAAGAUGGCCUCGGCGGUGCGCCAAGUUGAGGCGGUGGAGGUGGCGAGGGCGGUGACGAGAAGGGCGGCGUAGGCGGCGGCAAGGAGGGCGGUGAGGGCGAGAGAGAGCUUGAAGAAGAUGGUGAUGCGGACGACAGGGCGGGCGUCGGGGAGGAGGGGCUUGUGGGCUUCGUCUUCAUUGGCCGCUCUGCGGCGGCGGUGGGAGAUCUUGUGUGCAG
rnacentral:misc_RNA from 1 species